rnacentral:lncRNA from 1 species
AUGCUGACCCACAGGUGGAAGAUGCUUGGUCUCCAGCCUUCCGUCAUUGGGAACAGAGAUGACCACACAUCUAAACAUUUAAACCAAGAGAGUAAGACUGAAGACUGUCCACUGAAGUUCAUGGCCCUGCAGACCAGCCACAGCAGAGCUCCUCGAGAGAGACGGCAAGAAAACUCCAGCUCCAACUCGUCUGAUGUAGGAAUUCCAGAGGUAAAAGCGAACAACAUGGAUGUUCCAGUGUCCAGUAACACAGCAGCUUCAGAACAGUCCAAUUCUGACAACAGCGAUCUCUCAGAUCAGGAGAGAGGAAGAGCUCAGGUUUCAAAGUGGUCUGCACCUGUGGAGCUGUAUCUGAGGCCUGAGCCAUAUAACAAUGACCUGGACUCUUCUUAUUCCCCAGUGACAGUAGACGAACAGGUUUACCCCCAGGUUCUUCCGGCUCCUCUUAAAGAUCUGGAUUUUACUCAUGGUGAUCCAUCCACAGAACUCUCAGAUAGCCAGCAGAGGCUGUUCUCGGCUGAUCCCUGCCUCGCUCCUCUGGUAGUGCGGCUGCUGGAGCUGGAAAAGCUUCAGUCUGCCACUGUACAGAAAGAGCGAGCGAAACGACCAACCACUGCUAGAGCUCAGACCAAAAACAGCACUCGUUCAAAGAAUUGUGAACUUAUGGUUUCCAAGUCAUGGAGUCCUGAGGAUGCAGAUUGCAAUUCCGUCACAUGUAGUUUUACCAAGCUCAGUCUCUGUCCCAAUACUUCCUCCUGUAGAUGCAGACGGGAUGCUUGCCCCAUGGCAAAACUUAGAUAUAGAAGCAGAGAAAUGUGUCUACAGCAGUACCAGACACUGCUUAAACAUCCACAGGCUAUGCCAGGCAAACUGAACAGGCCUGUAGCUGUAGUUCCAGUUUUCUCAGUCAGUGUAAAGACCUCACCAAAACCAAAAACUCCUAAUAGAACCAGGAGACUCAGAACCACUAAGAAAAGUUCAUCAAGGCCACAGAGAGACAACUCGACUUCUGCCAAAAAGACAAGAACAGCUUCUAUCAGAAAGUCUGAAUUUUAA